rnacentral:rRNA from 1 species
AUUGAACGCUGGCGGCAUGCCUUACACAUGCAAGUCGAACGGCAGCAUGAUCUAGCUUGCUCGAUUGAUGGCGAGUGGCGACCGUGUGAGUAAUACAUCGGAACGUUCCCUGUAGUGGGGGAUAACUAGUCGAAAGAUUAGCUAAUACCGCAUACGACCUGAGGGUGAAAGUGGGGGACCGCAAGGCCUCAUGCUAUAGGAGCGGCCGAUGUCUGAUUAGCUAGUUGGUGAGGUAAAGGCUCACCAAGGCGACGAUCAGUAGCUGGUCUGAGAGGACGAUCAGCCACACUGGGACUGAGACACGGCCCAGACUCCUACGGGAGGCAGCAGUGGGGAAUUUUGGACAAUGGGCGAAAGCCUGAUCCAGCAAUGCCGCGUGUGUGAAGAAGGCCUUCGGGUUGUAAAGCACUUCUGUCCGGAAAGAAAUGGAUCUGGUUAAUACCUGGGGUCGAUGACGGUACCGGAAGAAUAAGGACCGGCUAACUACGUG